ACGGCGCGGACAGUGACGUCAUCAGACGGUGCAGGCAGGUACCACGUGGAAGACCCACAAAGGAAGGCUAAACAAGUACAUUUGCUGUGUGCACAAAACAGAUUUCCAGGUGGUUUUGAGUUCUUUUCCUUCGAGAUGGUGCUGACACAAGCAUGUUACGCUGCAGUGGACUUUUCAGCGAGCCGAUGCCCUCCAGGCUUCCGCCGAAGAGCUCAUCCCAAGCCACGUAGAGAAGGUCUGGAUCACCAAUGGCAGACUGACCUGGAGUGCUGUUUGCAAAGACUGAGGAAUUGGAUUCUGACAACCCAGUCAAAGGCAGACACAGAAAUGUACAAACUUGGGUAGAGUCACUGAUGGAAGCCUGAAGAUGAGCCUUGAAGGCUUCAGCUGGUCUUGCUAUGCAGUGAGUUAAGGCUGAAUGUGAAUUCAGUUUGUAGCCCAGCCUGGCAUCAAAAUCAUGGCAAUCCUCAUGUCUCAGGCUCCUGAGUGCUAAGAUUACAUCAUAUGCAGCUAAUGUAUGACUUUUGGAUGAUUUGUCACACUUUGUUUGCAAGUAUCUUGUAGAUGAUUUUUGUGUCUGUGUUGAUUAAGGGGAUAUGCUUGGAGCUCUCUUUUUUAAUUGGGUUGCUGUCUGGUUUGGGAAUCAGGGUUAUGCUAGCCUCUAGUAAUCUUUUUAAUAGUACUCCUUUUUUCAGUUUCUUUAAAGAUUUUGCAGAAUAUUGACAUUAGAUUUUCUUUACAUUUUUGUAGAAUUCAGUAGUGAAUCCAUCAAGUAUUGGGCUUUUCUUAAUUUGUAGGUUUUCUUUUACUGCCUGUUGUGAUUGAUACAUUGUAUCAACUUGAGAAGUUUAAAAGUUUUACUGAGAGACUCAGCUAGGAGCAGGGUUCUUACUUUGUAAAUAUCCUCAUCCUGUGCAAGGCAAGGGCAGAACGAUUUUGUGAGUGCUGCAUCUGCCCUCGGGGUUGGGAGAGUAGCCUGAAUACAAUAUAAGGCAAGAAAAGAGACUUGCUUUUCACUUUGGCUGCUGUCUUGAAGGUUGCCUCAAUGCCAUGCCACCCUGCCUUGCAACAGCUGGUUAUGGAUUGAAACCUCCAAAGACUGUAAACUAAAUAAAUCAUUUCUUCAUUUUUGGUGUUGGAUAUUUUGUCCCAGCAAUGAGAGAAAAAUAAUCAAGUUACUUCUUUGAUUUUAUUGUUUGUUACUGAAUUAUUCAGGGUUUUUGUAUCUUCUAGGUUCAAUUUUUGUGAUUUGUAUGUAUCUAGGAAUUAUCCACGUCUUUGAGUGCUCCAAUUUAUUGGAGUAUAUGUUUUAAAGUUGCUAAUAAACUUUUUCAGUAGUGUGCAUUGUAAUUCUUGUUUGUUUGUUAUUGGGUACCGGUGGUGGAACUCCUGACCUUGUGCUUACCAGGCACUUGCACCACUGAGCUGAAUCCCCAGACCUCUAUUGUAAUUUUACCUUUUCCAUUUCUAUUUGCACUGACUUACUGGGGUUUUUUUGUUUUUUUGUUUGUUUGUUUGUUUGUUUGGUUGGUUGGUUUUUUUUUUUUAAUGAUUGACUAAGGGACUGGGGAUUUAGCUCAGUGGUAUAAGUGUCUGCCUUGUGUGGCAUCAUGAGUUUGAUACCCAGUACCAAAAAAAAAAAGAAAGAAAGAUUGGCUAAGGGCUUGAGUAUUUUGAUAGGCACUUGGGUUGUUUGCAAGAUUUAACUAUUAAAAUUUAUGCUGCUUUAAACAUGAAUGUGGAUAGCAUUGUUGUCAUAUCAUGCCUUUAAGUCUUGGAAGAUACUUAGAUGGGGAAUAGCUGGGAUAAAUGGAACCUCCAGUUCUAAGAUUUUGAGGAAUCUUCAUACUGAUUCCGUAUUGGUUGUACCAGGUCCAUCACUGGAGAAGAGUUCUUUCCCCUCUUCACUGUAGCCUCACCAGCGCUUGUUAUUGGUUGAUUUCUUAAUGUCAGAUCAAAUCUCAGUGUUGUCCUAAUUUGUACUUCUUAUAUGGCCUAGAAUGUUGAACAUCUUUAAAAAUAUAUUUAUUUGCUGUUUAUAUCUGAGAAGUAUCUGUGCAUUUCAUAUACUCAUUUUUUGAUUGGAUCUUGAAAUUUAGAGAAUCCAUUUUUUUGAAGUUCUUUGUAUGUUCCAAAUAGUCAUUUUGUCUGAAAAGUAACUGGUAGAAAUUUUUUUCUCAUUCUUACAGUUGUCUCUUCACUCUGUUGAUGAUUUUGAUGAUUUUUUUUUUGAGACAGGAUCUUACUAUGCACUUGAGAUUGGCCUUGAGCUCACUUUGUAGCCAAGGCUUUUCUUGAACUUGCAAUGACCUGCCUGCCUCAGCCUCCCACCUGCUGAGAUUACAGGAGUGUGGCAGCAUGCCUGGUUUCUGCUGAUUCUUUUGUGAUGUAAAGGCUUUUUAAUGUAAUGUGAUAUGAGUUGUUGAUUGUUUGUAAUAUUUCUCAUGCAAUUGAGGUUUUGUUCAUAGAGCCUUUGUCCACACCUAUGUUUUCAAAAGUUUUACUAUUCUGUCUUCCAGUAGAUUGUUUCUGUUUUACUGUUUAGAUUUUGAUAUAUUUUGAUUUUAGUUUGGUGUGUGUUGAGAGAUAUGGUUCUAGGUUUAAUCUCCUGUGUAUGGAACACUAGUUUUUCCAGCACUAUUUAGCAAAGGGACUAUCUUCCAGGGAAAGUAUUUACCUCUUGUCAAAAGUAGGUUACUGAGUAUGUUUGGAGUUUUUUGCAUAUGUUCUAUUCUGUUCCAUUGAUCCUUGGAUUUGUUUUGUUCUUUUUUUCCAGUUCCAUGAUGUUUUUAUCAUGAUAGUUUUGCAGUAUAAUUUCCUGUUGGUGGUUGUGAUGCCUCCUGCCUUGUAUCUGUUUUCCAUAAUUUGCUCUGCUAUUCUAGGUCUCUAUGGGUUCCUAAUGAAUUUUAGGAUUGUUUUCCGUAGUACUUAAAUUACACUACUGGUAGUUUGAUUGGGAUUGCAUUAAAUCUUUGUAAAUAGUUUAGGAAAUAUGGUCCUUUGUACAAUAUUGAUAUUGCCUCAGGGAUUUCCUCAAUUAGAUCAAUUCCAAAGUAUUAGGUUUUUUGGUGCAGUUGAGAAACAAAGACAGAGAUAAAAGAAAACCUUUUUUGCUGGCACAGGUGGGCUGCUGGAGUUUGCAAGGAAUCUCAAAAGAAACAAAGCUGAGGAGUCACUUUUAUGGGAUUGGGACAAGAGUGGAGACUAUGUGGUUGGAUAGGUCAUCGAGCUGGCAGAGGACUGCGGGACAUCUUGGCAAAAGGGAUGGAAUACCUGAGGGGACCGUGUUGGGAGGGGGAUUGGAGGACCUGUCGUGCGCAUGAAAGGGAGGCAGAAGGUGUAUUGUUUUGGGACCAGAAGACUUGAGGAGGAGUUAGUAUGGUGAGAGGCACUGUUGUUUUAGGGGUCAGCACCAUGUUGGACAGGCAUUGUACUGAGCCUGACAGAGUCUUGCACAAGUGGAACCCAUCAUAAAGCAUUUCAUUUGUUGUGAUGCUGUCAUGCAAGGUGUUUCCCCCUAAUUUUCCUCUUAUCAGUGUUAUUCGUAUACAAGCAUACCAUUAAUUUUUGAGUUUUGACUUUGUACCCAGAUACAGUUUUGAAUUUGUUAAAUCUAGAAGUCUUUUGGUGGAGGUUGGGAGCCUUCUAUGUAAAGAAUCAUGUCAUCCAUGAAUGAUGACGUUUAACUUCCUUUCUUAUCCUUAUUCCUGUUGUUUCUUUGACUUGUCUAGUUGAUCUUGCUAAUGUUUACAGAACUAUAUUGAAUAGGUGUUGUGAUAACGGGCAUCCUUGUCUUUCCUGAUUUUGGAGUGAAAGCUUGCAGUGUUUGAACAUCUAGUAUGGUGUGGACUAUUGGUUUGUCACAGAAGGCUUCUUCCAUUAGAUUUGAAUUGACUUUUUUUUUGUACUGGGAAUUGAACUCAUGACCUCAUGUUUGCCAGACAGGUGCUGUGCUUCUGAGCUAUAUCUCAACCAAUAGACUUUCUAUUUCAGUUUUCUUUAAGGUUUUGUCAUAAAUGGGUGUUAGGCUUUGCCAAAUGGUUUUUCUGCAUCAAGAUGUUGAUGUGGUUUUUGCCUCUGGUUCUGUUAAUGUGACUUGAAUAUUGCAUCAUCCCUGUAUCCUGGGAUGAAUUCUACUUGCACACAGUGUAUAAUCUGGUUGAUGAAUUGAUGCAUUCUGUUUGCCAGUAUCUUAUUGAGGAUUUUUGUAUCUAUGUUCAUUAAGGAGAUUUGCUUGUAGUUGUCAGAUUUGGUUGGAUCCUUUUCUGAUUUGGGUAUCAGGGUAACUUUUGCUUCCGGGAAUACUUCCCUUUCAGUUUCAUUAAAAAGCGUGUGGGGUAGUAGCAUUAGAUUUGCUCUAAAUUUCUUGUAGUAUUCAGCAGUGAAUCCAUCAAGACCUGGAUUUUUUUGUUGGUAGUUUUUGUUACUAUUAUUAUUAAUAGUAUUAAAUUUCAUUGGGUGAAAUUGGGCUAUUUAGAAUUUGUAUAUUUUCUUAAUUCAGCUUGGAUAAUUGUGUAUGUAUGAAUCUGUCCAUGUCUUUUCUGCAUUUUGCAUCUCAUUAACAAUUCUCAAUGUAGGCACUGAUGAUCUUUUAGAUUUUUGCAAGAUCUGUUGUGAUUUUUCGCUUUUCAUUCCUAAUUGUAUGGAUUUGACUCUUCUGUUUCCUUUUCUGUUUUUUUUUUUUAUGAAGUUGGCUAAAGGUUUGUCUAUUAUAUUUAAUUUUUCAAGAACUGACUCUUCAAGGCAUUGAUUCUUUCUGUCAUUUUCUUAAUCUCAAUUGUAUUGCCUUCUGCUCUGGUCUUUAGGGAUCAUUUAAAUUCUCUUGCAUUUUUUAAGCAUAUUCUGGGAGGUAGCAGGUGGUCUAUUUUAGAGAAAGUCCCACGUGUUGUUAAGAGGAACGUGUGUUCUAUGGUUGAAUGAACACUGAGUAGGUAUCUACUAACCCCAUUUGUUCAAAGGUGUGGUUCAUCCCUUGUAUUUCUUUCAUGAGUUUUCUGAUCUCACCCACUCACUGUGGGAUUCUGACAUGGGGAGCCCUGAGAUGAAGUCACCCCAUAACUACUCCUCAUCCCAAGUUCAGGUGGGCCUUCCCUAAAUGGCAUCUGGCCUAGCAAUCUCUUGGGACAUGGUGGGCUGUUGGCCUGAGGUCACUCCAAGGCCAGCUGCUUUAGCAUGUAUCCCUGUUCCCUGAUGUGUAUCUCCUUGGAGGGCUCUGGAGUCAUCUACCCUCAGCCCUCACCACCUUGGUAGAUUUGAUCCAGCUCUCAUGUUGUAAGGCAGAGGCUGGGUAGAAAAUGCAGUUAGCUACCUACUUUUUCUGCUUUGUAAUCUGUUACUUCACUUCCACUGUGGAUCCAGUUUUCCCUUCAGAUACUUCCUGGGUCAUGGGUAUUCACCUCAUCUUUUAUUUAUUUAUUUAUUGGUACCAAUUAUUAAACUCACAACCUGGUGCUUGCCAGGUAUUGUAAUCAGGGGUUGUGAGGAAAACAAUUAGAAUCAGGACAUGGAAUUUAUAAUAUUUUAUGAUGGUACAGUUAACACAAGAAAGUGCAGGAAAUCUAUCCACAACACUAAAGACCCAGAAUAUUUAACCAAGGGCCUGAAUCCCACAGCAGUGUUCUACAUGAGUGCAGAUGAAAACCUAGAGCCCAUGACAGAGUCUCUUAUGAGUCCAUCUGGAGGGCUAGAGCCCAUGCAAAGGACUCAUGUCAGUCUGUUUUAUGGAUCCACACUGGGAAGGCCCAAAGGUGAGCAAUGGAAGCUAGAAAAUCCAGCAGGGUGAAAGAGCUGUGCUGGUAGGUUGAUGGUUCUAUGCCGGAGCCAAGAAGUCAUGCUCAACAUAAAAACCAGGUCUCCUAAAAAGCACCACAGCCAUCCUCAGUGACACUGAGGUUCUGAACAUCAACAGUAAGCACAUUUGAGUGCAUGCCAGGAAGCCAGCCUGAUGAGUUUGCCCUGAAGAUUAAAGAGCACACAUUUUCCCCUGUGGAGCCAGGAAGCAGUGCUUGAUGUAAGGACCACAGCUCCCCCAAAGUGCACCACAGUCACUCUCACCAGCAAGGUCCCAAGCUCCUCCAGUGGCAAUGUUUGAACUCACACUCGAGACGCGAGUCAUGACAAGUUCCUUCAGGAGAACCAACAGCUCAAACAGCAGCACAUAGGAGAACCCACAGUGCCUCAACACCUCUCUUCUUCACAUCUCUAUGCUGGCAACUUUCCUCAGGUGGAACCUCUGUGCUCAGCAUCAUGGUGAUUUAAUUCCACUGGUGUUAAGUUGACCUCUGAGUUUUUUUAAUCUAUAACACCAGACAAGUGCUUAUGCCACUGAACUAAAUCCCCAGCUCUUGCCUCAUCUUUUGUUCCCCAAAUUGUUACUUUCCAGUGUCUGGGUUUGAAAUCUUAGAGAGGUUGAUUUGAUGCUGCUGUGCAUCACUCUGCCAUCUGCCCGAAAGUCCCACAGAAAUACAUUAUUUGAUGAAACAAAGAUUAACCAGAUUUAGCUAUACAGUGAAAACCAAUUCAUAGUCACAUCUGUGCCUCCUUGGCAAUAGCAAAAAUUCAGCAACAAUUAUAGAGUUAAACAAUCAGAAGGCUGAGACAGGAUGAUCACUGGCUUCAUAGUGAGUUGAAGUCCAGGCUGACUUGCAUAGGAAGACAUCGUCUCAAAACGUGUGCACACACACACACACACACACGUCAGUAACAGUCUGGAUAUGGAAGUGUCAUAAAAAUCAGUUGGCACUACCACUGUACAUCUUUAACUAUAUGGAAAAAAUACAUAAUUUCAAUACAGGCAGAUGAUCCAAAUAGUGAUAUAUAAUAAAUAUGUACUAAAGACAACAUCUAUGCCACCAUUAGCAAUAGAAAAGAAUUCAGCAUUAACAGCAUUGUUAACUAAAUAUCUAAAGAGUAGUAAAUAUUGGGGCUGGGGAUUUAGCUCAGCCACAUAAGCGCCUGCCUUGUAAGCAGGCAGUCGUGAGUUCGAUCCAUGGUACCAAUAAAAACGAAAAAGACAAAAAAAAAAAAAAAAAAAAGAGUAGUAAAUAUUAACAAUAGUACAGAUAGAAGCAGUGGGGAGCAGCAAAGUGAAAUUUGAAAAAUAGUGGAAAGGAACAUGAGGGAGAAAGGCAAAUGAGAAAAAAAGGAUCCUAAUAAGAAGUCAAAGAAAAAUAGUAAAAUUAGAUAAAAGUAACAGAAAGCAGUGAACAGAGAAAUAACUUGAAAAAUCUUAAUAAAAAAACUAAAAAGAGCAAACCUAAAACUUUCAAAAAAGGAAUGAUGUUCCCUGUCAGGGAAUUCCUGACAGGAGAAAGGCUUGUGAUGCUGAAGUGAACAUGCACAGCAUGUGUCCGAUGACUGCUUCGUUUUCACUGCCUGUAGCUCUGAGUGUGAGCAUUUCUGUGAGUGAACGCUGAGCCCCACUUGCCUUUCCUCAUAGAUCCCUGGCGUCCACCCUAAGCCUGUGUGCACUGCAGCCUCUUUCAGUUUCUGUAUUGAUUCCCUGAGUCACAGAUUCCCUUGCCUAGCCGUAAGCUUCCCAAGCUUGUGAUGUGCUCUCCACCCAACCCCACAGGCCUUUCUGUGAGUGCCCUGGUCUUAGACAGUCAUCCAAGCUGAGAUGACUUCUUGGUCACAUAGGGACAGAAAGAAAGCAAACAGCACUGCUCUGCUGGAUUUGGGCAGCAGGGUGGGGGUUCAAGGAGACCCCCAGGCUUCAUGCCAACAUUUAGACCAAAUGCCCUCCAGAAGCCACAGUGGACUGACUUGGCUUCUCAGCAGAUAGGACAGGGUAUCUGUGUCAUUCUGGGCCUGAGCCCAGAGCUAGGGACCAAGGAUGUGUCCAUUGCUCACAGCCGUCUCCCACCCAGUCACUGUGAAAUAUAGGUGUUGGGUACCUCAGUCUUAGACAGGGAACCUCCCUAAAAUGGCUGCAGGGAGAACCCUUCAGUCAGGCGUCCAGUGCACUGGUUACUUUUCCCUCCAGUCUGCCAUGUGAGAGGAGUCACUUACAUAGUUCAGCCGUCACUUUUGCUGAUCCCAGUAGCUGUGGGCUUUGCUCACUGGGGCUUCGACCCUCUCUGGGCUUAUAUGUGUCAGGUCUUAUAGCCCCUCAUUUUUUUGGUGCUUCUGGUGGUGUUUUUGCAAGUGAGAUUACUUGUCAGUCAGUCCACUUAAUAAAAGUGUGAUUAAACAGGAGUGAAUUCUGAGAUCAUAAAGCAGCACAAGAAUGGGUGAAAGUUACAUACUGAUGCCCAAUGACCGUAAGAGAUUUUCCCCUCAAGGUUACUCAGACUUAUUCUUUUCCCCC